GUAUAACCUAGGAGUUCUUUUGCACACAAACCUUUUAUAUCUAGACUGCACUGGUACUGGAAAUCAGGCUACUGUUGUACUGGAUGCCUGAAACGUGUACAUAAUCAGCAGCUGAUGUCUCACUCUGAUACUUCUGUAGUAUAGGUUGACUAAAAUGUAGCAGUUAUAUAUUGUAGAACAGCUUUAUGCAAUGGGUUGUUGACAGUUGACACCUUAAGCUAAGUUGGAAUGCCAUCAUGAAUC
rnacentral:sRNA from 1 species